rnacentral:rRNA from 1 species
AGCGGCGCACGGGUGAGUAACGCGUACGCAAUCUGCCCUUCAGUGAGGAAUAGCCCUGGGAAACUGGGAUUAAUACCUCAUAAUAUUAUUUAUUCGCAUGGAUGAAUAAUUAAAGUUCUGGCGCUGAAGGUUGAGCGUGCGUCUGAUUAGCUAGUUGGUAGGGUAACGGCCUACCAAGGCGACGAUCAGUAGGGGGCGUGAGAGCGUGACCCCCCACACGGGUACUGAGACACGGACCCGACUCCUACGGGAGGCAGCAGUAAGGAAUAUUGGGCAAUGGAGGCAACUCUGACCCAGCCAUCCCGCGUGAAGGAUUAAGGCCCUAUGGGUUGUAAACUUCUUUUGUUUGGGAAGAAAUCAGGACAUUUAUGUGCUGUUGACGGUACCUUACGAAUAAGCACCGGCUAACUCCGUGCCAGCAGCCGCGGUAAUACGGAGGGUGCAAGCGUUAUCCGGAAUCACUGGGUUUAAAGGGUGCGUAGGCGGUUUGAUAAGUCAGAGGUGAAAGCUAGCAGCUUAACUGUUAAAUUGCCUUUGAUACUGUCAGACUUGAAUCAAGUUGAGGUAGGCGGAAUGUGACAUGUAGCGGUGAAAUGCAUAGAUAUGUCAUAGAACACCAAUUGCGUAGGCAGCUUGCUGGGCUUGAAUUGACGCUGAGGCACGAAAGCGUGGGGAUCAAACAGGAUUAGAUACCCUGGUA